rnacentral:rRNA from 1 species
AUGCCCUCAUCCUCCGCCGCUGCUGGUGGCGAGCUCUGUGCCUCCAACCAAUGGCGACGAACCAGGCCUCCAUUCAUGGCAUGCCCUUACAUGAGCGACGAUGAUUAUUUUGGUUUUUUGCAAACCAUGCAAGAUUUUUGCAGCGGCAGGACCAUGACCCCUCGAGAAAUUUACAAAAAUGUGCCUAUUAGUUCUUCCGGAACUUUUGUGGAUAAUUAUGUCCCUACAGACGUAAAGGUACCUUUUCUCAACAAGGCCUUUCUAAGGGUUAAAGCAUAUGAUAAUCACAACUUGGAUGGUAUCCAUAUGAAAGAAGCUCUACACAGGAGUUGCAUUGAAAAACUAUAUGAUGAUGAUCCUGAGGGUGAUGAUCUGUUGAUUUACAUCUCCUCUUUGUGCAGGAGGUACAAGGUCUCACCACAUGUUGAAGGCUGCUUUCAGUAA